CCCUGAUGUUAGCGGCGGACGGGUGAGUAACACGUGGGUAACCUGCCUGUAAGACUGGGAUAACUCCGGGAAACCGGGGCUAAUACCGGAUGGUUGUUUGAACCGCAUGGUUCAGACAUAAAAGGUGGCUUCGGCUACCACUUACAGAUGGACCCGCGGCGCAUUAGCUAGUUGGUGAGGUAACGGCUCACCAAGGCGACGAUGCGUAGCCGACCUGAGAGGGUGAUCGGCCACACUGGGACUGAGACACGGCCCAGACUCCUACGGGAGGCAGCAGUAGGGAAUCUUCCGCAAUGGACGAAAGUCUGACGGAGCAACGCCGCGUGAGUGAUGAAGGUUUUCGGAUCGUAAAGCUCUGUUGUUAGGGAAGAACAAGUGCCGUUCAAAUAGGGCGGCACCUUGACGGUACCUAACCAGAAAGCCACGGCUAACUACGUGCCAGCAGCCGCGGUAAUACGUAGGUGGCAAGCGUUGUCCGGAAUUAUUGGGCGUAAAGGGCUCGCAGGCGGUUUCUUAAGUCUGAUGUGAAAGCCCCCGGCUCAACCGGGGAGGGUCAUUGGAAACUGGGGAACUUGAGUGCAGAAGAGGAGAGUGGAA
rnacentral:rRNA from 1 species